rnacentral:rRNA from 1 species
AUUGAACGCUGGCGGCAUGCUUUACACAUGCAAGUCGAACGGUAAUGACCAUCCAGCUUGCUGGAUGGGGCGACGAGUGGCGGACGGGUGAGUAAUACAUCGGAACGUACCUGUUAGUGGGGGAUAACUGCCCGAAAGGGUGGCUAAUACCGCAUAUUCUCCGAGGAGGAAAGGGGGGGAUCCCGUCAGGGACCUCCCGCUGACGGAGCGGCCGAUGUCGGAUUAGCUUGUUGGUGGGGUAAAAGCCUACCAAGGCGAUGAUCCGUAGCAGGUCUGAGAGGAUGAUCUGCCACAUUGGGACUGAGAAACGGCCCAAACUCCUACGGGAGGCAGCAGUGGGGAAUAUUGGACAAUGGGGGAAACCCUGAUCCAGCGAUGCCGCGUGUCUGAAGAAGGUCUUCGGAUUGUAAAGGACUUUUGUCAGUCGGGAAAAUUUCAUGGCCAACACCCAUGAGAAAUGACCAGCUGAAGAAUAAGCACCGGCCAACUACGUGCCAGCAGCCGCGGUAAUACGUAGGGUGCGAGCGUUAAUCGGAAUUACUGGGCGUAAAGCGAGCGCAGACGGUUGGGUAAGCCAGAUGUGAAAUCCCCGAGCUCAACUUGGGACUUGCAUUUGGAACUGCCCGGCUGGAGUGGGGUAGAGGGAGGUGGAAUUUCCCGUGUAGCAGUGAAAUGCGUAGAGAUGGGAAGGAACACCGAUGGCGAAGGCAGCCUCCUGGGCCUUUACUGACGUUCAAGCUCGAAAAGCGUGGGGAGCAAAACAGGAUUAGAUACCCUGGUAGUCCACGCCCUAAACGAUGACAAUUUGGCUGUCCGGGCCCUUGAGGCUUGGGUAGC